rnacentral:rRNA from 1 species
UAACGUCGAGAAAUCGGCGCUAAUACCUCAUAAUGCAGCGGAUCCGCAUGGAUAUGUUGUUAAAGGUUUACCGCCUUGGGAUAGGCUUGCGUCUGAUUAGUUAGUUGGUGUGGUAACGGCACACCAAGGCUACGAUCAGUAACUGGUCUGAGAGGAUGAUCAGUCACACUGGAACUGAGACACGGUCCAGACUCCUACGGGAGGCAGCAGUGAGGAAUAUUGGGCAAUGCUCGAAAGAGUGACCCAGCAACGCCGCGUGGAGGAUGAAGGUAUUCUAUAUCGUAAACUCCUGUGAGAGCAGACGAAAGACCAGAUUAUUAAUCUGGAUGACUGUAUGCUCAGAGGAAGCCCCGGCUAACUACGUG